rnacentral:misc_RNA from 1 species
CGAAUGGGUCCAAAGACCCUUAAAACCUACCGUGCUCCCCUAUGUGGAAAACAGGAAAGCCCUCCGGGGCAUAGGAAAUCUGAGAAGUUGAGAACUGCGCCCCGGCGCAUGACUAAAACAAAAAAUUA